rnacentral:lncRNA from 7 species
GCACGGGUGUUGCUGAGGGCGAUGCGGGCGGUGGUGUGGAACACGCGCUCGGCGCUGCUGUACUCGAUAGGCGGCUGGACCGUGCUGGGGGGCAUGCUGCACUACAGCUACACGACCAGAGGCGGAGCCGAGGGCGGCGGCGGGCACGAGAACGAAAGUGAAAAGGCGGACGAAGAGCUCUCCAGAGAGGUGGUGGUUACAGAUACACCCAUAGGGUUACAGGUCACCACGGUAAUGACGUACCACAAGGAAUUGCCUCCUCUCACGCGGCUGCUCCGGCAUCUGACAGCCUACUUUUCCUCCGGCAGUAGUCCUCCCCCUUCUGAGAACUGAGCGGUCAGGGACGUGGAACGUUGUGCUGUGGAGGAGAGCCUGGGGACGAGGUCCUGUCGUCUGGCAGCGCCCUGUCGGUUGGAGAGGUUCUGUUGCUUUGUUGAAACGACAGAUCCAUGUCCGAAAUUCCUUUGCAGAACCCGCAGGCUUUCUUGCCUGUUCACAUCGAUGCUAUUCUUUGCACAUGUACUCAAUUUAUUAAAUGUGAACUAGGUUCAACGGAGUCUUGUGAGAUGGUGGUGAGCUGGAAUGCUGCCCCGGGGGCUGGCCAGCUGCUUUAGCAGCUAUUUUGUGAAGGUUUCCCAGCACAGGGGCUGCUGUGCAUGAGCUGCUCUCUCAACCAAUUGGGUCCAAAAUAAAAUAUUAAAGAAUUAUUAAGCGGGAAGGAAUGCAGUUUAAUCUUUGGGGUGUAUGAGUUGUCAUCCUUCAGAAAGAAGCAGGCAGGGUGUACAGCUUUGUCCCCUGAUAUGUAGCUACCUGUCCUUAUACCCCCUUUCCCUCAGUUUGCUACAUCUCCUUUCUGUAGCUCCUCUUAGAGCUGCUGUCACUUUACAGGAUCUUAAUACAUGCUGCCUCCCCUUGUAGGGUGCUGUCUCCCUGCUGUGGCUGUGACUGUAACCUUCCUUUCUAUGCGGUUUCCCCCAGUCCUUGUGGACAUACUUCCUUUCUUCAGGGGCUUCUCCCAGUCCCUGCAAGCGCUGCCUCCCUUCAGAAGGAAGCUGCCAGUUUCCAUGGCUACCUAUGGACGCCUCAUUCCUCUAGAAGAGAAUGGUAUGGGUGCGCUGGUACCUCCAGUUGUGCUUUCUAUAGGCACUGCUGAAAACAUAAUGGAAAAAAAAAUUAAAGGCCCCACCUUCAGAGGAAAGGAGCCCCUCCGCACCUUUCUGUGGGCAUUCCGUCUC